UGGGGAAUAUUGGACAAUGGGCGAAAGCCUGAUCCAGCCAUGCCGCGUGUGUGAAGAAGGUCUUCGGAUUGUAAAGCACUUUAAGUUGGGAGGAAGGGCAGUAAGCGAAUACCUUGCUGUUUUGACGUUACCGACAGAAUAAGCACCGGCUAACUCUGUGCCAGCAGCCGCGGUAAUACAGAGGGUGCAAGCGUUAAUCGGAAUUACUGGGCGUAAAGCGUGCGUAGGCGGCUAAUUGAGUCGGAUGUGAAAUCCCCGAGCUUAACUUGGGAAUUGCAUUCGAUACUGGUUAGCUAGAGUGUGGGAGAGGAUGGUAGAAUUCCAGGUGUAGCGGUGAAAUGCGUAGGGAUCUGGAGGAAUACCGAUGGCGAAGGCAGCCAUCUGGCCUAACACUGACGCUGAGGUACGAAAGCAUGGGGAGCAAACAGG
rnacentral:rRNA from 1 species